UUCUACAGCCAUACCACUCUGAACACACCCAGUUUCAUCUGAUCUUGGAAGCUGAGCAGGGUCAGGCCUGGUUAGUAGUUGGAU
rnacentral:rRNA from 1 species